UACGAAGGGGGCUAGCGUUGCUCGGAAUGACUGGGCGUAAAGGGCGCGUAGGCGGUUCAUACAGUCAGAUGUGAAAUUCCCGGGCUUAACCUGGGGGCUGCAUUUGAUACGUGUUGUCUUGAGUUCGGAAGAGGGUCGUGGAAUUCCCAGUGUAGAGGUGAAAUUCGUAGAUAUUGGGAAGAACACCGGUGGCGAAGGCGGCGACCUGGUCCGACACUGACGCUGAGGCGCGAAAGCGUGGGGAGCAAACAGG
rnacentral:rRNA from 1 species